rnacentral:rRNA from 1 species
UACGUAGGGUGCAAGCGUUGUCCGGAAUUAUUGGGCGUAAAGAGCUCGUAGGCGGUUUGUCGCGUCUGCCGUGAAAACCCGAGGCUCAACCUCGGGUCUGCAGUCGAUACGAGCAAACUAGAGUGUUGCAGGGGAGACUGGAAUUCCUGGUGUAGCGGUGAAAUGCGCAGAUAUCAGGAGGAACACCGGUGGCGAAGGCGGGUCUCUGGGCAACAACUGACGCUGAGGAGCGAAAGCGUGGGGAGCGAACAGG